AACAAUCACUAGGGGAGCUGGAGAGGCCAGCUGAGAAAAAGACCUACCUGUCUUUGACCCUUAUUCUGAACCUGAUCUGGGUUAUACCAGCGUAGGGAAGUGAUCGUCGCCACUU
rnacentral:ncRNA from 2 species